rnacentral:tRNA from 1 species
AGCACUUGGUUUGGGACCAAGGGGUCGCAGGUUCGAAUCCUGUCUUCCCGA